rnacentral:rRNA from 1 species
GACGAACGCUGGCGGCGUGCUUAACACAUGCAAGUCGAACGGAAAGGCCCUGCUUUUGUGGGGUGCUCGAGUGGCGAACGGGUGAGUAACACGUGAGUAACCUGCCCUUGACUUUGGGAUAACUUCAGGAAACUGGGGCUAAUACCGGAUAGGAGCUCCUGCUGCAUGGUGGGGGUUGGAAAGUUUCGGCGGUUGGGGAUGGACUCGCGGCUUAUCAGCUUGUUGGUGGGGUAGUGGCUUACCAAGGCGUUGACGGGUAGCCGGCCUGAGAGGGUGACCGGCCACAUUGGGACUGAGAUACGGCCCAGACUCCUACGGGAGGCAGCAGUGGGGAAUAUUGCACAAUGGGCGGAAGCCUGAUGCAGCAACGCCGCGUGCGGGAUGACGGCCUUCGGGUUGUAAACCGCUUUCGCCUGUGACGAAGCGUGAGUGACGGUAAUUAGUAAAGAAGCACCGGCUAACUACGUG